rnacentral:lncRNA from 1 species
AUAUCAUUUUUAUGUUACAGGGUUACCUUCCCAAAACAUUUCACUGCUCAGGCUUGGGGCACAGGCACCACGUCAAUUAAUUUCUUCAAAUCACCUUCUCCAUAUGGACUCUUGACUUACCUCAUACUGCAUGCUGACAAAGACUGCCUGCUAGUAAAGUUGGUCUAUCGGAGCACUGUUAGUCUUCGUGCCUGUGAACUGUUGGUGAGAGACAGCUACUUCCAGCAUACCAAGUCAUCCAAAUGUUGCGACCAACAGUUUAAGAUCAAUUGUGACCCAGUUGUACAAACAUUGUACAACCCCGAGGAAUGUGCUGCCUUGAAGCAAACUAAAAAAGGAUAAAGAAUACCAAAGAAAAACUCAGACAUGAUGGGAACACGAGCUCGCUGCACAGGACACGUCUCUUUAAAUAAAACAGUCAUCAUAUAGUUAUGAUUGAA